GAGUUUUCACUUUGUACAUAAGGGUACAAUGAUGUUUUGAGCCCAAAACACCUUGAAUCUUGAUGCUAAUGCUCAUUUUGGUAGUCUGUAUUUUUCGAGAUCCUUUGGGUUUUGAGUUGUAACAGUGGUAUCAGAGCCAUUCUUGGCUAGUCGUGUCUCAUCUUUGUGCUCUGGUUGUAAAAAAUUAAUCUUCACAAUCGAAUCUU
rnacentral:lncRNA from 1 species